rnacentral:snRNA from 1 species
GUACUCACUUCAGCAGCACAUACACUAAAAUUGGAAUGAUACAGAGAAGAUUAGCAUGACCUCUGAGCAAGGAUGACAUGCAAAUUAGUGAAGCAUUCCAUAUUUUU